UUGAAGUCAGCUUGCCCCACCCCUUAGCUAGCUUAUAAUUUUCUGGAAGCUCAAGUUUGACAACCUGGCUUAGUCUGAACUGUGUCCAGUGAGAAAAAAUGUCGACAGUUGUUGGAACAGCUUGAUCAGCCACACCAGGCUGACAGAGGGGGCAACCCUGCGUGUCAGGGGUCCUAAAUUGGCAGGGGCCAACCGUGGUGAAGGGGAUGGACCUUCACUGGAUUACCAAGAGUCGGCUGGCUGAAGAUCACUAGCAGUCCUCAGCAGCCCCGGCCCCCGUCCCGAUGAUGUAAUUAUUUCCCAGCGGCACCUGGGAGCAACGGCCGCCAUUCGGAGGCAUCGCUCACAGCCAACAGACCAGUGACGCUCUCAUGGUGAUGCAGGUCCAAAAGUUUCCAGAAGAGCAGGCGAAGAAGGAAGUCAGAGGGCUGGAUCAGCUGUGCUGUGAUCUCCCGUGCGAGCCAAGCUGUCUGAUUGGCUGGAGGGCUGGAGGGCCAUCUUGCCUCCCUGGCAGGCAAGUGGCUCAAGCAGUUUGGUUGAGGAGGUGUGUGUGUGUGAGAGAGAGAGACGAGAGGAGGGGUAAGAAUUUGGAAAAGCAGAGGGUGAAAAUGUGUGGCUGUUGGGGUUUUAUGACAGAGGACUGCGAAGAUAA